GAUUCGCAACCACCGCAAAAUCGAAGCAACGAAGGGCGAAACGGCAGCAGCCGGUGCUCGCCGCCAUGACAACCGAAACCCUAGUCGGAUGACCUUUCUUCCGAUCGGCCUGUCGCCUCGGCAUCCAUCUGAUUCUCUCUUCGUGCACAGCGAUCGGAAGGGAUAGGACACAAUGGCCGAUUUGGAGAACUUGCUAUUGCAGGCUGCAGGGAGGACGGGGUCUGGCCGGAGGAACAACAACAAUUCACGUUCACAAUCGAGGUGGAGGCGGGACAACUCUUAUUCUGAUGGAAGCGAUUCCAAGGAUGAUGAUUUGGAUAAUCUUAAGUACAAAAACCGAAAAUCAUCGGGCUCCCAGAUUCCGGUGAAGAAGAGGUUUGACCUACCAGAGUCAGGCACGAGGAGUGGCUGGAGGGAUGAGGACGGCGGUGAAGGAGGCAGGCAUAGUGAUGAAGAUUCCGAUAGUGCACCCUCCGUUGGGAGUGAUCUUUACAAGGAUGACGCAGAUAAAGAAGAACUUGGUAAGAUGUCUGAACUGGACAGGGAGAUGAUUUUGGCAGAAAGGAGUACAAAGAUAGAUGAUUACAAGCUAAAAAAGAUGGCAAGAGCAUCAUCUUCAAAGAUGGAAAGAAGUCGGAAGGAGAGCUCUCCUGUUCCACCUCAUGGUCGCUCGUCUGCCCGGAAUGACAAAACUGCAGCAAAGAGUGCUUUGAAUGAGCUGAGAGCUAAGAGAAUGAGACAACAAGAUCCUGAUGGUUACCGCAGCCGGCUGGGGGAUUUGACCGGGGAAGGAAGUAGUGGCUUUCGUCUCCGUGAUUCUUCUCCCCCUAAACAUAGAACUCUUGGUACAGCUGCAAGUCCUCCCAGUGAUAAUAGCAAUGAAGAUGAGAGUGGAGGCAGAGCUGACAGUGACAAUGAAAGGUACCGUGAUGAUAAUAAAAGGGAUGAUGAUUUGGAUGAUCUAUCCCCCUCAGGAUUGGAUGCACCUAAGUUUGAGGAUGUUAAAGAGAUAACAAUCAGGAGGUCAAAGCUGGUGAAGUGGUUCAUGGAACCCUUUUUUGAAGAGCUUAUUGCAGGAUGCUUUGUACGUCUUGGUAUUGGGAAGACGCGCACGGGGAAGCCCAAAUACAAGCUAUGCUUAGUCAGGAAUGUGGAUGCGACUGACCCUGAAAAAUACUACAAACUAGAACAUUAUACCACCUACAAAUGGCUGAAUUGCAUAUGGGGUAGUGAUUCCUCAGCUGCUAGAUGGCAGAUGGCUAUGGUCUCAGAUUCUCCACCACUUAUAGAUGAAUUCAAUGAGUGGAAAUGGGAAGUGGAGAAGGGCAAUGGUCGGAUGCCAACCCGUCAGGAGGUGCUCGAUAAGAAGGCUGAAAUUCAGAAGAUCAGUAAUUUUGUGUAUUCAGCAGCUACUGUGAAACAGAUGCUGCUAGAGAAGAAGUCGGCCUCACUGAGACCAGUCAAUAUUGCUGUUGAGAAGGACCGACUUAGGGAGAAAUUGGAAGUUGCCCAAAAUCGUCGUGAUACAACAGAGAUGGGGAGGAUUAAGGCAAGGUUGAAAGAGCUGGAAAACAUGUCUCAAGGGACAAAGAAGAUUGAUGAAAAGGCUGUUAGGUUGGCAGAGAUGAACAGAAAAAACCGAGCUGAGAACUUCAAGAAUGCCUCAGCGUUGAAACCAGUAAACACUGCCUUGAAGGCUGGGGAGGCUGGCUAUGAUCCAUUUUCACGGAGAUGGACAAGAUCGUCAAAUUAUUAUAUCUCAAAAUUUGGAGGAGAUGACAAUUCAACAACUGUGGAUAUCGAGCAAGGCAAAGUUGACGUGGAUGGAGAUGUAAAUGAAGCAAUAAAAAUGAACGCGGUGGAGACUGGUGAGGCUGCAACUGCUGCUGCAUUGAAAGCUGCAGCUGGCGCUGGUAAGCUGGUAGAUACAAGCGCACCUGUAGACCGUGGCACAGCCUCAAAUUCCCUGCAUGAUUUUGAACUGCCAAUCUCAUUGGCUGUGCUGCAGAAAUUUGGAGGUCCUCAGGGUGUGCAUCAGGGCUUUAUGGCAAGGAAACAGAAAAUAGAAGCCACUUAUGGGUACAAGGUACCUGACAGCGAUGGGCGGAGACAUCCUUUGAUUUUGACAGUCAGUGAUUAUAAACGUCGAAGGGGCUUGCUGUAAACCUGCGCCCUUUUCAAGCAAUUUCGUUCGUUUCUUAUUUGGAUGCUUUGCAAACCAAUGCAACUUUGGCCUGUAACCACAGUGAAACUAAUGCGACACCCGCAAAGCUAUUUUGCAUAGUUCCUCCAAUAGACCUUUUGGUACCCAAGCAUCUGUUAACAUGUUUGUGGGAUUGGGACGGCCUGCUUGGAAGGAGGCGCGAUUGACUUUACAGAGACUUCUCUCAGGAUAAUUUCUCUUUCAAUCUUCAAAGAAUAUGGCUGAUUCUGCUCUAGCAGCAAAUUCAAGUAUUGAAGCUUUGUUAGAUUCAAAUGAAAUCUCAGAACAGAUACGAGAUAAAGGGGAUAGCUUGAAUAAUAAUGUGACUCGAGAUGAUAAUUUAAGUCCUAAGUUCAAGAAAUAAAAGAGGUCUCAUAUAUGGUCAGAAAUGAUUAAGGUUGAGGAUCCAAAAGGUGAUAAGUAUAAGUGCAAACAUUGUCAACUAUUCCUUGCAAAAAUGAAGUCAGGUUCUACAACACACUUAAAACGAUACUUGGAUCAUUGUGCUAAAUACUUGGAGUCUAAAAAGAAACUGGAAGAUAAACUCAAACAACAACAACUAUUGUUAGGAUUCGAAAGUGUUGAUACAACUAUAUCACCUUUGUUACAUGAUGAAAAAUUUUGUAUGGAACGCAUGAAAGAAGCAGCUGCCUCAUGGAUUUUAAUGCAUGAACAUCUAUUUACAUUAUUAGAAGAAGAAGGUUUUAAUAUGUUUUGUAAAUGUGGAAUGCCUGAGUGGACUCGUAUAUCACGAACAACAUUAAAAAAGAGUUGUUUUGCAAUACAUGAAGCUGAGAAGAAAAAAUUACAUAGUUUGCUGAAAAUGUAACAAAGAUUAGCCUCAUGACAGAUUUGUGGAAGUCAAAAAAUCAAAAAAGAGAGUAAAUGGUUAUCACUGGUCAUUGGAUUGACUUUUCUUGGAAAUUGAAUAAAUGUGUUCUCAAUUUUUUUAAUAUACCUCCUUCUCAUGGUGGUCCUCAAAUUUCAUAUACCCUUCUAAAGUGUGCAAGGACAUGGGAGAUUGAAAAUAAAAUAUAUAUUGUUUCUAUUGAUAAUGCGAGUGCUAAUGAUGCUGCAAUUAAAUAUACGAAGUAAGAUUUCUUGAAAAUAAACAACAAUCUAAUUUGUGGGGGAAAAUUAUUCCAUGUCCUAUGUUAUGCACAUAUUUUAAAUCUUAUAGCUCAGGAUGGUCUCAAUGAAAUUAAGGAUAUUAUUCAUAUUAUUCGUCAUAGUGUGGAUUUCAUUAGAAGAACAGAUGCUAGAUUUAUUCAAUUUGCUGAAAUUGUGAAACACUUGAAGUUAUAAGAAAGAAAAUUGGUUGAUGAUGGUAAAAACAAGACGGAAUUCAACUUAUGAGAUGUUGAGAACAACAAUUGCUUUCAAAGAGGUUUUUCCAAGAUUUAAAGAUCGGGAACCUAACUACGUUAUUAUCCAACAGAAUUUGAUUGGGAGAAAUUGCUUAAAGUAUUUUUAGUUUUGAAAGUUUUUUUUAUCAAGCAACCAAAAUUAUUUCUGGAAGUGAGUAUCCUACUAUCAAUCUUUUUCUAAAUGAAGUUUAUCGAGUAAUAUUAAUCUUGGAUGAGAAAUCUUGUGACGAAGAUGAGUUUAUUAGAAAAAUGAUGCAAAAAAUGAAGGAAAAGUUUGAUAAAUAUUGGGGUGAAUGCAAUUUAUUAAUAGUUGUUGGUUCAGUUUUGGAUCCUAGAUGCAAAAUGCAAUUACUUGAAUUCACUUUUCCUAAACUUUAUAACACAUUUGAAUCAGAGAGUAAUAUUAGAGGUCCAAAAGCUUUUGUAUGCAAUUUAUACAGAAUAUGCAAAUGCAGCCAUUGAAAAGCUUCAAGAUCAAAAUUCAAUUCUGAAUCUCAAUCUAGCAAUAGCUUAACUUAAAAUAAUAGAGAGCAAGUUACUUUUUUUCUGGAGGGUCUGAAUUCUCAUCUUAUUUAAAAGAAAUUGAAAUGUUGAGCUAGAUGUGUAUCUUCAGGAAGGGUGUCACAGCAUAAUCCAAAUACGUAGAAGCCUAUUGUUUGGCAUUCGGUGAGAAUUCCCACAUGUGAGAGAGAGUGGCAACAAGGCGAAAUAGCCUAUUUUCUUUUACAAGUUUUCGAUAUACUAUUUCAUCUAGAUAAAUACGUAGAAAUCCUUUCUCGAAUUCAAAAGUUAUCCCUCAACACCAAAGGUCACACCUUAUCACUUGUUCCAUGAAUCCUAACUAGAAUGUAAACGUGGUGUCACUUGUUCACAUAUUGACUUAAUGCUUUAUUUUUUAUUUUCCAUUCUUGGUCAUCAUUUACAUUACAUUAUGAAUUAAUGGUAGAUUACCUGUUAAAUAAGGCUAAUUAUUUACAUGUUCGAUUGUAGUAUGACAUGCAAUUAGCAUACACAAUCAUGCAAAUAUUUGAUUUUCUUCU